UAGAUUGUAAAUUUCAUCCGAGGCAGCCAUGGCUAUUCACAGCUGGAGCAGAUUCUGUCAUUAAACUGUAUUGCCACUAAUGAUAGAUUCUCCAGGAAACUUUGAAGAAUCUCCUCGAGUCAAGAUACGUGAGUACUUGCUGAUCCUACAUGAAUACGGUAGCAAGUUCAUGUUCUUUGCUUGAUAAUUUAUUCUUUUUUGACCAAUUCAUUUCCGCAAACCCCUUACCUGUAAGCACCAACUAGUAUCCUUAUUGUCAAGAAUUAAUUUUAUCAACGACUUAUAAGUUUGGUAUGCAUAUUUCUUAUGAUGUUGAACCUUGACUUUGAGACACAUGAUGGCUUUGUUUUAUUUUUUUUGUUGAAUUUUCUAUCCUGUAAGUUUCAACUCCACUAGUAUCAUGUUUCCAUAGAUGAUGCUGUCUUAGAUGUUGGAGUCGUGACUCAUUCUUUAUACUGAUGUUUCUGUGUGGAAUUUUCCCAGUUGUCCUGUUCAUUGUUUGAUGUUUCUGUGUGUGUUGUAGCUGAAUUUGGUUGUAGCUUCUGCAAGCUUUCUUCACUUUCUUCCCUCCACUAUCUGUUAACAAGUUUGAUCUUUACAAUUCAGUUAUAAGAACAAACAAUAUGACCAAAGGUUGACAGCUUUGCUUCAUCCUUUUUACAUUUCAGUAUGUGGAUGAAAGCAAAUAUGUACUGAUGUACCUAAAUGGAUUUACAAAAAUAUCUUUGAAAUGUUUUGUCAUACAGAUAUGGCAUCUAGUAUAAUUUUUUCCAACUUGAUUGUUGCAUUAUCAUAUAAUGAGAUUAGGUGCACAGCUUGCAGUCAGUUUAUUGUUUUUGCUAAAGAUCAUUGCUAGUAGGCCGACAAAAGACAGGUCUAAAAUGAAGCCUAAGAAAACAUGCUUAAGAUGAUAUUUUAAGAUUUUCUAAACAUUGGAUCGUUGCGGAAGGUUGUGAUUGGCACGGCAAGUGUUCUAAAAUGAAGCCAAAGAAAAUGGGGGAGAAAAUAAGCUUCAAGAUAUCAAACUCUACACCUUCUAUAUGGAGCUAGAUUUGCAAAAGCCAUAUCCAACUCGAGGAAGUGACUUAUUGACAUGGGAGAGAACUUAUUGGUAACCAAGGACUUUGUGAAGAUAGCAAAUUUUGGUCUUGCUCGUGAAGUUCAUUCG